AUACGGAGGGUGCAAGCGUUACUCGGAAUCACUGGGCGUAAAGCGCGCGCAGGCGGCUAUUUAAGUUGGAUGUGAAAGCCUACGGCUCAACCGUAGAACUGCAUCCAAAGCUAUUUAGCUAGAGUGUGGGAGAGGAAGAUGGAAUUAGUUGUGUAGGGGUAAAAUCCGUAGAGAUAACUAGGAAUACCAAAAGCGAAGGCAAUCUUCUGGAACACUACUGACGCUGAGGCGCGAAAGCGUGCGGAGCAAACAGGAUUAGAAACCCUAGUAGUCC
rnacentral:rRNA from 1 species